UCUCGAUACCUCGACGUUUCAACUUCUAGAGAAUCACCUCCGACCAUUUUCAGAUGGACGAUUGUGUUUAUG